rnacentral:rRNA from 1 species
GCCCGCUCAGAAACUACACAGGAAUUGACGGGGGCCCGCACAAGCGGUGGAGCAUGUGGUUUAAUUCGAUGCAACGCGAAGAACCUUACCUGGUCUUGACAUCCCGGAGACCCUUAGGAAACUAGGGGGUGCUUCCAUCUGGAAGAAUCUGGAGACAGGUGCUGCAUGGCUGUCGUCAGCUCGUGUCGUGAGAUGUUGGGUUAAGUCCCGCAACGAGCGCAACCCUUGCCUUUAGUUGCCAGCAGUUCGGCUGGGCACUCUAAAGGGACUGCCGGUGUUAAACCGGAGGAAGGUGGGGAUGACGUCAAGUCCUCAUGGCCUUUAUGACCAGGGCUACACACGUACUACAAUGGCCGAUACAAAGGGCAGCGACACUGCGAGGUGAAGCCAAUCCCGUAAAAUCGGUCUCAGUCCGGAUUGGAGUCUGCAACUCGACUCCAUGAAGUUGGAAUCGCUAGUAAUCGUGGAUCAGCAUGCCACGGUGAAUACGUUCCCGGGCCUU